GAUGAACGCUGGCGGCGUGCCUAAUACAUGCAAGUCGAGCGAACAGACGAGGAGCUUGCUCCUCUGACGUUAGCGGCGGACGGGUGAGUAACACGUGGAUAACCUACCUAUAAGACUGGGAUAACUUCGGGAAACCGGAGCUAAUACCGGAUAAUAUAUUGAACCGCAUGGUUCAAUAGUGUAAGACGGUUUUGCUGUCACUUAUAGAUGGAUCCGCGCCGCAUUAGCUAGUUGGUAAGGUAACGGCUUACCAAGGCAACGAUGCGUAACCGACCUGAGAGGGUGAUCGGCCACACUGGAACUGAGACACGGUCCAGACUCCUACGGGAGGCAGCAGUAGGGAAUCUUCCGCAAUGGGCGAAAGCCUGACGGAGCAACGCCGCGUGAGUGAUGAAGGUCUUCGGAUCGUAAAACUCUGUUAUUAGGGAAGAACAAAUGUGUAAGUAACUAUGCACGUCUUGACGGUACCUAAUCAGAAAGCCACGGCUAACUACGUG
rnacentral:rRNA from 1 species